GACGAACGCUGGCGGCGUGCCUAAUACAUGCAAGUUGAGCGCUGAAGGUUGGUCCUUGUACCAACUGGAUGAGCAGCGAACGGGUGAGUAACGCGUGGGGAAUCUGCCUUUGAGCGGGGGACAACAUUUGGAAACGAAUGCUAAUACCGCAUAAAAACUUUAAACACAAGUUUUAAGUUUGAAAGAUGCAAUUGCAUCACUCAAAGAUGAUCCCGCGUUGUAUUAGCUAGUUGGUGAGGUAAAGGCUCACCAAGGCGAUGAUACAUAGCCGACCUGAGAGGGUGAUCGGCCACAUUGGGACUGAGACACGGCCCAAACUCCUACGGGAGGCAGCAGUAGGGAAUCUUCGGCAAUGGACGAAAGUCUGACCGAGCAACGCCGCGUGAGUGAAGAAGGUUUUCGGAUCGUAAAACUCUGUUGGUAGAGAAGAACGUUGGUGAGAGUGGAAAGCUCAUCAAGUGACGGUAACUACCCAGAAAGGGACGGCUAACUACGUG
rnacentral:rRNA from 1 species